rnacentral:rRNA from 1 species
ACAUGCAAGUCGAGCGGACAGAAGGGAGCUUGCUCCCGGAUGUUAGCGGCGGACGGGUGAGUAACACGUGGGUAACCUGCCUGUAAGACUGGGAUAACUCCGGGAAACCGGAGCUAAUACCGGAUAGUUCCUUGAACCGCAUGGUUCAAGGAUGAAAGACGGUUUCGGCUGUCACUUACAGAUGGACCCGCGGCGCAUUAGCUAGUUGGUGAGGUAACGGCUCACCAAGGCGACGAUGCGUAGCCGACCUGAGAGGGUGAUCGGCCACACUGGGACUGAGACACGGCCCAGACUCCUACGGGAGGCAGCAGUAGGGAAUCUUCCGCAAUGGACGAAAGUCUGACGGAGCAACGCCGCGUGAGUGAUGAAGGUUUUCGGAUCGUAAAGCUCUGUUGUUAGGGAAGAACAAGUGCAAGAGUAACUGCUUGCACCUUGACGGUACCUAACCAGAAAGCCACGGCUAACUACGUGCCAGCAGCCGCGGUAAUACGUAGGUGGCAAGCGUUGUCCGGAAUUAUUGGGCGUAAAGGGCUCGCAGGCGGUUUCUUAAGUCUGAUGUGAAAGCCCCCGGCUCAACCGGGGAGGGUCAUUGGAAACUGGGAAACUUGAGUGCAGAAGAGGAGAGUGGAAUUCCACGUGUAGCGGUGAAAUGCGUAGAGAUGUGGAGGAACACCAGUGGCGAAGGCGACUCUCUGGUCUGUAACUGACGCUGAGGAGCGAAAGCGUGGGGAGCGAACAGGAUUAGAUACCCUGGUAGUCCACGCCGUAAACGAUGAGUGCUAAGUGUUAGGGGGUUUCCGCCCCUUAGUGCUGCAGCUAACGCAUUAAGCACUCCGCCUGGGGAGUACGGUCGCAAGACUGAAACUCAAAGGAAUUGAC